AUGCAAAAGUAAAGCCUGUUAUUGUCACUACCAAAUGGGAGACUUUUGAUCCUCCUCGGGCCUUUGCUCAAUGGGAAAUUUUUGAUUGAUUACUUUUUCAUUCGUCUCUGCCUCCAGAGAAACAGAAGCAAUCUACUCCACUUCUUGUACUUGCUGUUCUUCAGUCCCUCGAGAACCUUGCCAACAAGCGUUGGUGAUUAAAAUUUUAUGUGGUUGGAUUUUUGUCAAACGCUAUGUCAUCAUAAUUUUUUGCAUUUACAUCUAAUUAAAUAUUGCCAUGUAUAUAUUGUUUUAUUAAAAUUUGUUAAAAUUAACUAAAUCCUAGAUUGAAUUUUUUAUUUACAAAAUAAAAAUUUGCUAAUAUAAAACUUUUAGAUUUACAAUAUAUUGUCGUUGUCGUGGAUGUCAGGAGGAAGGUGGAAUUGACUAUUUUCGAUUUUCUGGCUCCUGCUUUUUGUCCCAUUGAAAAAUCUUUUUUAAUAACUACGAAAUAUA
rnacentral:misc_RNA from 1 species